rnacentral:tRNA from 1 species
CGGCCUGUCGCCAAAUGGAGAAGGCAAGCGGCUACGAACCGCUGAUUUUGGAGUUCGAAUCCCCACAGGCCGA